AUUAGAUACCCGGGUAGUCCAGCCGUAAACAAUGUGCGUUAGGUGUGUCGGUAACCACGCGUUACUGAUGCGCCGAAGAGAAAUCGUGAAACGCACCACCUGGGAAGUACGGUCGCAAGGCUGAAACUUAAAGGAAUUGGCGGGGGAGCACCACAACAGGUGGAGCCUGCGGUUUAAUUGGAUUCAACGCCGGACAUCUCACCGGAUAAGACAGCUGAAUGAUUGUCAAUCUGAAGGUUUUACAUGACUAGCUGAGAGGAGGUGCAUGGC
rnacentral:rRNA from 1 species